rnacentral:misc_RNA from 1 species
GAUGAAGAACGCAGCGAAAUGCGAUAAGUAGUGUGAAUUGCAGAAUUCAGUGAAUCAUCGAAUCUUUGAACGCACAUUGCGCCCCUUGGUAUUCCAUGGGGCAUGCCUGUUCGAGCGACAUUUGUACCUUCAAGCUUUGCUUGGUGUUGGGUGUUUGUCUCGCCUUUGCGUGUAGACUCGCCUUAAAAUAAUUGGCAGCCGGCGUAUUGAUUUCGGAGCGCAGUACAUCUCGCGCUUUGCACUCAUAACGACAGCGUCCAAAAGUACAUUUUACACUCUUGACCUCGGAUCAGGUAGGGAUACCCGCUGAACUUAAGCAUAUCAAUAAGCGGAGGA